AUUGUGACAUCACCCACUGACAAGUACCCAUUGUCACAGCCACAGACACACCAGAAACUUCAGCUCCAGCAUAAGGAAGUCACACUCUCCAGAUCAUCCACAAGACAGCCUGACUGCAUGCACUGCCAUCCUUCCAGAUUUCACCUCAACUUUCAAGAGAAGAACUUCCCUUGUUUCGCCUUGUUAUUCAGAUAGAAAUUCCAAAGAGUGAAGAUUCACAAGACAGAAAAUCAUUAGAUGUGAAGACACGCAUUAGGUGAGUGGAGUGGCAACGGACAGGAUCACAGGGAAAACAGUGGCAGAACCAGGAAGGGGAAGCCAGUCACCUUGACGUGAACCAGGGCUCCUUUUACUGGCAUUUCUCACCUUUCUGUGCAAAACGAGAGCGUGGCCUUCUGGGAGCCUACACUCUGGAAGGAAGUACCUUCCCAUGUAACCCCCGGCUCCACAGUCUUGCUGAAACUACAGAGAUUUAAGAGAAAGCUGUACAGGGAAGACCCUUCUCAGAGUGACACAGUGUGUCUUAGAUAGAGGACUCCAACCGUGGCGCAGAGGAUGAAGUGUGAAGAGAGACAAGGUCUGACAGGAGGCACGAGUCACCUCUGCUGCAGAAAGGAUGAAGAGGAGCUGCAUGAAGCAGCUAUGGAAGUAUCGAUGCCCUUCUAAGACACUAAAGAACCACCAUGUGGAUGGGACCUUGUGGAAUUUAGUCUUCCUAUCUACAAAGGUUAGACUUGGCACCGAUGAUAGGAUAAGGCGGCUGGACUUGAGGAGAGGUGGGGGACAGGAUCAUCUUGAUGAUGCUAAUUUGCUGCCUGAGACUCUUCUGUGAGAAAAAUUUUACACCUAAGCUCAGGCUUACUGGAAGGACUGAUUAGUCGCAUCUGCCACGAAGGAGACACAUGUGCUGCUGCAUUUCUGAUUGCCGUUAGCCAGACCAUCAUUAAGAUUCCGCCCAGGGUCAACCCAUUUUCUGG
ensembl:lncRNA